rnacentral:rRNA from 1 species
UACGGAGGAUCCGAGCGUUAUCCGGAAUUAUUGGGUUUAAAGGGUGCGCAGGCGGGAGAUUAAGUCGGCGGUGAAAUUUUGCAGCUCAACUGUAAAAGUGCCUUCGAAACUGGUUUCCUUGAGUGUAGAUGAAGUAGGCGGAAUUUGUGGUGUAGCGGUGAAAUGCAUAGAUAUCACGAGGAACUCCGAUUGCGCAGGCAGCUUACUAAACUACUACUGACGCUCAGGCACGAAGGCGUGGGGAUCAAACAGGAUUAGAUACCCGUGUA